GUCAAACUAUGAAGCACUUUAUAGUCCAUAAACUAAGCAGGCGGAGAGAUUUGUGGUCCUGGAGCGCGAGGUUGGUCCCGUUGGGCGGGGCUUAGUGUAAUCGCUCUGUUCUCCACUAGAUGGCGCUGCUUAGCUUACUGGGGGUGGAUUAUUGCGGCGUUUGUAGGUGCGUAUGCACAUGCGCCAGAGCGGUGAAAUGGCGUCACCCAGGUACCUGGUCUCUAGUAUCUGAAUUCUCUUCUCCCCAAUCAGCAACUGCACACCUGUCCUUUGUCUUCGGCUGCCAUCCACUCCCCACAUUUACACUGUUUGUGACCAAGCGCCAGGUAGCACUUCCCUCCUGAGUUCCGUCUCAGAUGCGGCUGUUUUUCCCGACCCCUAACUUCUGAGGGACUGCGGCUUUGACCCGUUCUGCUCCUCAGCUGGAGGGUCUCACCGGAGCACUGGCCAGGUGCCAGCCGCACCCAGGAUCGUUCACAGGACCGGGCUGCUGCCGAUGCCCAGAGACUGCAGCUGGGUGCCGGCCCGCCCUAGAAAAUGUUCCCGGGAUCGUGUAGCAGCAGCGUUUCUGGGAUUUACGGGAUUUACGAAAACCACAACACACACCUGGCGCCAGGCUUCACCCUUAACGACCUCGUUCCAGCGCCAGCGAAGGUGGUGGUUCUCCCGGGUCCGCUGGGGCCUUGCCUUUGGGGGCCCCACACAGCCUCUACCCGAUGUCCUCCCAGCAGGGGAACUGCCUCCCUCCGUGUGGCCCGAAGAACCCUGGACUCCGCUCUGCUCCUGGGGAUCCGUCCUUCCCACCAGAGCACCACCAGAGCUGAGCUGAGAUUGAUGUAGCAGAAGCACUCAAUAAAUGCCCAUGGACUUGGCUAAUGAAUGGACAGACUUGCAGGGGACACCGCCCCAUCAGGAAAGAAAGGCGGCCUUACUCGCCUCCUCCCCAGCAAGAGAAACCCAAGGUCCUGUGUCCUGGAGCAGCAGAAGCCAGCUCUCCUCCCCAUCCCUGCUUGCCUCCAGCCCUCUUGGCCUUCUGGAUCCCUGUGGGUUUGGAGAGGCCGAUGCUGUGGCUCUUACCAACAUCAAUUUGCAGCCACCAGGAUGCAACUUCACCCUAUGCUGCGUUCAUAAAUUAAUCUCCUGGGAUUAGAUUCCGUGUUUUAGUAACACUCCCGAGGCAUUGUAUUUACACAUUACUAAUAAAAGAAAAAAGUGAGACAAGUUCUGACAACUUUCAAUAACAUUCAGAAGUAAAGUGUGAGGUGCAGAAGUGUCCAAAGUUAAUUAAGACCAUUUGGUGCUGACGGGGGUGGGGAGUGGUGCCUGCCGUUCCCCGACAGGUGCUAUUUCUGAAACCCAAUUUCCCUGCCUGUGAUGUACCUGAUGCCUGCAGAACAGGAGAUACUGAAAUAAACUGAACUAGCAGCAUGA